UACCCAGCAAAUCCUAUCCCUACCUCCUUAAGGUACUGGCUGAAGUACGAGUAACUUUAGGAAAGAUCGGGUAACCAACCCCGGUCCAAUUCUGACUGAGAAGG
rnacentral:ribozyme from 1 species